UGCAUGAUCUGUGGCACUUUUUCCAAAACAACCAGGCUGCCCACCCCCCGCCCCUGACUGUCAUUGCCCACCCCACCCUGGGGGCUGAUGGAGAGAUCUGGCUGGACUGAGGCAGGGACCCACGGUUAGCAAAACACUCCUGGGACUUUUGGGGCACAUCCCUAAUUGGGAAGCACCGGAUUUAAGAGCCAAAUGUAACAAACCAAAUACAGGGGAAAACCAGGAAAAUGCUUCCUUCCCUCAAACGUGCAAGCAGAGUCUACGCAUAGGAGCAAAGGGGAUGCUGUGAAGAUGAGAAGCCAGAGGUCCGGCUGUGGAAAACGUACACUCGUCAAAACCACAGACAGGCAAAGGCCAGGCCGUGACUGAUAACCUGCUGCGAGGCAUAUGACGGGGACUUGAAGAGCCUUCACACAUCAGCGAGGAAAAGGUAACCAUGCAUGGGAAGGAAGACCUGGUGCUGCCGCUGCGGUGGCACUGCAGGAUGGCACAGAGUGGGCCAGGCAGGCCUGGACAAACCCUGCCCUUGGGUGCAUCUGUGGCCUGAGAGAGGGGGCAGUGGCUGGGCUUCAGGGAGUCAGUGCCAACAAACACCAGGACAGCCCCCUGCGUGGCACACACUCCAAUGUCAUUAAAAACGAAGGAAGCCUGAAAGAGCCUGCACUCACGCUGACCAGCCUCGCAGUCCUCGCCCAGGAAUCCCACAGCGCCUCCCAGCGGACAGGCCCUUACCUGGCCAACGCUGCCCCUGUCCCCCGCCCUCCUCUCUCUCCCACCCCUCCUCCUUCCUCUCCUUCUCCCCACGCCCCACCACCUCAGUCCCACUGGACUACAGCCACAACAUAGCCAGAUGCUGUGCCCCAUGGAAAGCAGGGCUUUUGCCAGAGAAACCAUCUCGUCACCCACAGGGCACACCUGCUUGCCCACUGACCUGCCUCCCUCCCACACUAAUGCCACAGGCAGGAAAGCAAGGUCUGGAAGAGAUAUUUGCACACGAGAGAUGGUGCACUACUCCUAACAGCCAAGAGGUGGAGGCAACACAAGCGUCCAUCGGUGGAUGACAGAAUGAAUAAAAUGUGCGUGUGCAGACAGAGGAACAUCACUCAGCCUUCAAAAGGAGGAAGUUCUGGGCCAGGUGCAGCGGCUCGCACCUGUUAUCCCAGUGCUUUGGAGGCUAAGGUGGGAGGGUUGCAACCUAGCGAGACCCUCUCUCUGUGAAAAUAAAA